rnacentral:rRNA from 1 species
UUGAGUGCAGAAGAGGAGAGUGGAACUCCAUGUGUAGCGGUGGAAUGCGUAGAUAUAUGGAAGAACACCAGUGGCGAAGGCGGCUCUCUGGUCUGCAACUGACGCUGAGGCUCGAAAGCAUGGGUAGCGAACAGGAUUAGAUACCCUGGUAGUCCAUGCCGUAAACGAUGAGUGCUAAGUGUUGGGAGGUUUCCGCCUCUCAGUGCUGCAGCUAACGCAUUAAGCACUCCGCCUGGGGAGUACGACCGCAAGGUUGAAACUCAAAGGAAUUGACGGGGGCCCGCACAAGCGGUGGAGCAUGUGGUUUAAUUCGAAGCAACGCGAAGAACCUUACCAGGUCUUGACAUCUAGUGCCAUUUGUAGAGAUACAAAGUUCCCUUCGGGGACGCUAAGACAGGUGGUGCAUGGCUGUCGUCAGCUCGUGUCGUG